GUCCACGCCGUAAACGAUGGGUACUAGGUGUUGUGAGCUUAACACUCGCAGUGCCGACGCUAACGCAUUAAGUACCCCGCCUGGGGAGUACGGUCGCAAGAUUAAAACUCAAAGGAAUUGACGGGGCCCGCACAAGCGGUGGAGCAUGUGGUUCAAUUCGACGCAACGCGAAGAACCUUACCUGGGCUUGACAUCUGGAGAAUCCCCUUGAAAGAGGGGAGUGCUCGAAAGAGAGCUCCAAGACAGGUGCUGCAUGGCUGUCGU
rnacentral:rRNA from 1 species